rnacentral:rRNA from 1 species
UUGCACGCUGGCGGCAGGCCUAACACAUGCAAGUCGCGCGGAUGAAGGGAGCUUGCUCCUGGAUUCAGCGGCGGACGGGUGAGUAAUGCCUAGGAAUCUGCCUGGUAGUGGGGGAUAACGUCCGGAAACGGGCGCUAAUACCGCAUACGUCCUGAGGGAGAAGGUGGGGGAUCUUCGGACCUCACGCUAUCAGAUGAGCCUAGGUCGGAUUAGCUAGUUGGUGGGGUAAAGGCCUACCAAGGCGACGAUCCGUAACUGGUCUGAGAGGAUGAUCAGUCACACUGGAACUGAGACACGGUCCAGACUCCUACGGGAGGCAGCAGUGGGGAAUAUUGGACAAUGGGCGAAAGCCUGAUCCAGCCAUGCCGCGUGUGUGAAGAAGGUCUUCGGAUUGUAAAGCACUUUAAGUUGGGAGGAAGGGCAGUAAGUUAAUACCUUGCUGUUUUGACGUUACCAACAGAAUAAGCACCGGCUAACUUCGUG